GAAGGAAGGAAGGAAGGAAGGAAGGAAGGAAGGAAGGAAGGAAGGAAGGAAGGAAGGAAGGAAGGAAGGGAUUCUCACAGCAUGUCUUCUCUUCCUCUAGAAGAUUCUCUCUCCCUUGUCACUUCAAUGUGGAUCUGGGCUGGAAAGCAGAGAAAAAACACUGGAUUUCUGAAAUCAAGCUGUUGGCAGAUUUCCCAUUUCCCUUCAAGAACAUCCCAGGAUAAACCAGCUAACAGAUGAAACUGGUGGAGAGAGGACAAAAAAAAUGUGCUGAAAUCACUGGAAUAAACUGGCUGUUUUCCAGCUAUCA
rnacentral:lncRNA from 1 species